GAUGAACGCUGGCGGCGUGCUUAACACAUGCAAGUCGAACGGAAAGGCCCAAGCUUGCUUGGGUACUCGAGUGGCGAACGGGUGAGUAACACGUGGGUGAUCUGCCCUGCACUUCGGGAUAAGCCUGGGAAACUGGGUCUAAUACCGGAUAGGACCACAUUUUGGAUGGGUGGUUGCAAGUUUUUCGGUGUGGGAUGAGCCUGGGGCCUAUUAGCUUGUUGGUGGGGUAAUGGCCUACCAAGGCGACGACGGGUAGCCGGCCUGAGAGGGUGUACGGCCACAUUGGGACUGAGAGACGGCCCAGACGCCUACGGGAGGCAGCAGUGGGGAAUAUUGCACAAUGGGCGCAAGCCUGAUGCAGCGACGCCGCGUGGGGGAUGACGGCCAUCGGGUUGUAAACUCCUUUCGCUAGGGACGAAGCGCAAGUGACGUUACCUGGAGAAGAAGCACCGGCUAACUACGUG
rnacentral:rRNA from 1 species